AUUGAUCGCUGGCGGCAUGCUUUACACAUGCAAGUCGAACGGCAGCGCGGGCUUCGGCCUGGCGGCGAGUGGCGAACGGGUGAGUAAUGCAUCGGAACGUGCCCAGUAGUGGGGGAUAGCCCGGCGAAAGCCGGAUUAAUACCGCAUACGACCUGAGGGUGAAAGCGGGGGACCGAAAGGCCUCGCGCUAUUGGAGCGGCCGAUGUCGGAUUAGCUAGUUGGUGGGGUAAAGGCUUACCAAGGCGACGAUCCGUAGCUGGUCUGAGAGGACGACCAGCCACACUGGGACUGAGACACGGCCCAGACUCCUACGGGAGGCAGCAGUGGGGAAUUUUGGACAAUGGGGGCAACCCUGAUCCAGCCAUGCCGCGUGCGGGAAGAAGGCCUUCGGGUUGUAAACCGCUUUUGUUCGGGAAGAAAUCCUCUGGGCUAAUACCCCGGGGGGAUGACGGUACCGGAAGAAUAAGCACCGGCUAACUACGUG
rnacentral:rRNA from 1 species